GCCGCUCUAGCUCAGGGGUAGAGCAACGGAUUUGUAACCCGUAGGUCGUCAGUUCAAAUCUGACGGGCGGCACCA
rnacentral:tRNA from 1 species